GGUCGCGUAGCUCAGUGGAAGAGCGCUUGCCUCCGGAGCAAGAAGUCCCCGGUUCGAACCCGGGCGUGAUCG